UACGUAGGGUGCAAGCGUUGUCCGGAAUUAUUGGGCGUAAAGAGCUCGUAGGCGGUUUGUCGCGUCUGCUGUGAAAACCCGAGGCUCAACCUCGGGCCUGCAGUGGGUACGGGCAGACUAGAGUGCGGUAGGGGAGAUUGGAAUUCCUGGUGUAGCGGUGGAAUGCGCAGAUAUCAGGAGGAACACCAAUGGCGAAGGCAGAUCUCUGGGCCGUAACUGACGCUGAGACGCGAAAGCGUGGGGAGCAAACAGG
rnacentral:rRNA from 1 species